GGAAUUGUAGCUCAGUGGUAAACCACUUGCCUAAUUUGCAUGAAGCCCUGGGUUCAAACCUCAACACCUCAA
rnacentral:tRNA from 1 species